AUAACAAAAAAACACUUCACUGACUUCAGUUGAAUGGUAGAAUUGUUGAGUUUUAAAACCGUAGCACGGGUUGUUUUUGUACAAUUGUAACUUAUUCAUGUUGGUACACGACAAGAAGACGAAAUGAGCUUUAAGAAAUCCAACAAAAACAUAAAAUCAUUUGUUAGCGAGGAAGAGGCAAAAGAUCUGAACGAGAAACGACAGAAAGAAUGGGAAAGAGUCAGACAACCAGACGACCCUGUGGAAUGCCCUGAUCAUGUGGAAACUCGUAGCUUGUUUGAGCAACUCCAGGAGCAAAAGGAAAAAUCACAACAAGAACAUGAUGAGAAAUAUGAUAUAAAAAAGAUGUUUCGUGGUAUUGACAACGACGAAGCUGUAUUUCUUGAGUUUGCUUCAAAGCAGCAAGCCGAGAUUGAUGGGAGGCGAUUUGCUGUUACUCCUGAAGUGAAGGAAUUUAGAAACGAGGUUGCAAGUCUCCAAACAAUGCCCAAUCCAUCCUCUGUGUUAGACGAAAAGGAGAAGAGAAAGUCAAAUGUAAUGUUGGGUAAAAAAAAGUCUCAAGUUGAGCUUUUGGCAGGGUGUAUCAAAACAAAGAGGAAAAGGAGUGAUACUAAUAGCAGUGAAGAUGAAAAAUCUGUGGAAAAAAUGCCGGCCAAUCCAGAUGAAACACUAGUACCUAGUGAAGUGGUGAAGGAUGACGUGAGGAAAAGCUCACAUUUGGAAGAUAAAGCUGGUGUCUCAUCGCGGGAAAGUGAAAAACUCGACAGGACAGGUUCUAUUGACAUUGAUAACACGACUGUAGCCCAGCAAAUCGGUUAUAUUCCUAGUUUAGGGAUUUACUCUGAUUCCAGUGACUCAGAAUCAUCUUCAAGUGACUCAGAUAUUUUACCCUCGUUGUUCACUAACUUCACCUCAAAAGCUCAAUAGUGGAACAAUGUGUGCUUUUCUUCAACUUCAUCGGCGGAACGAACAUACGCCGUUGGGCGUAGCUCCAGGAAGUAACGAUCGAAGGCAAUCAAUUGACCAAAUGCCUUUCAAAGAUUUCUAUGAUCAUAUAUUUAUUAGUGAAAACUAAACGUAUGUCAUUUAUAUGAAAAGCAAAUCCACCAACGAUUCUCGUUAUCAAACUUGAGAAUUUUUUCAUCUAGCAUGCAGUAACACGAGUUCUUACAUGAGGUGAUUGCACAAAUGUAGUCCAACUUUUAACUGGAUGUUUUAGCAAAAGCUUUGAUGAUUUAAGGUGCAUGGUGUGUCCUGUAGAACGUUGGUCGAACGAAGUAUGGAUGGGUCAUAAAUUAUCUUCAAUUUGGUUGUAUCAAAAGCGAUUUAUCUAAUUCUGCACUUCCUUUGUUUUCUUUUCAUUGAACAGAAUCAUAUAUAUGUGUCGCUGAUAGAUGGGUAAAAAGUUUUUGAAAAAAAAUUCAAUAUGCAUACAUUGUAAAGAUGCUAAAGUUGUGAGUGCAGUGGAAUAAUUUAGAAUACAAUGGUCGCAAACAAGUUUCACCUUGGCGAAGACGCACUGGACCACGUAGGCCAGAAGUGUGCAGAACGUGGCGAAGCACAGGGGACCUGGGAGGAUCACUAACAAUGUCGUCAAACCCAGGCCUAUGAUGGUUCCUUGGACAACCAGCAGUCCCGUGAGCAUGACGAGGAAAAAUCCAAGAACUAUCGCCAGGAAUAUUGCCACUGGUAUACAAGUGCUUACAAGGAGCAAGCCAACGAAUAUGCUCGUGUUUGGCCGCUUUUCAAUGAACUGACGUGCGACGUUUGCUACUUCCAUUUCCAAGAAUUUUCUAACAACUGUAAUCGAUAUAACUGUGUAUGCGAAAUAAAUCAAAAACGCAAGACUGUGACGUCGCUAAUU
rnacentral:misc_RNA from 1 species